GCAUGGGUGAUUUGGAUAUAAUAUUUAUCAAUGCUGAUAACCUGGAUUGCUUUGGCUGAUCUGGCUAGCUUGGAGGGUUUUUCCAUUCUUCCCUCACUGUUGCAUAUGUUUUCUUUCUCAAACCUUUCCUCUGUCAAAGAGAACAACGUUUUCUACUAGCAGAAGGGGGAAA
rnacentral:snRNA from 1 species